rnacentral:misc_RNA from 1 species
GUGCUGUAAGUGGGAUGAAGGAACCAGGAGGGAGAGUUGAGGAAGGUGACCGUGUCAUACUGAACAUCUGAGUCAUAGUUCUCAUUAAUGGUCAAUGAAGCACUUGUAUGCUGCAGAAAUAGAUGAGCCAAGCCACAUUUAAAUCCCGAUAAAUCUUGCUUGAUUUCCCUCUCAAUCUUGGAGGUGACGAGAUGGCAGCCGCGGCGGUGCGCCGGGAGGACGACGGUCUUCUGGGCCCACUUGGCGGCCAUGGGGUUGUCGGUGGUGGGGGCGGUGAUGGUCGGAGGCUUGGCGGAGAAGAUAGACGAGGCUGCUGCUUGCAUCGCUCGA